GAUGAACGCUGGCGGCGUGCAUAACACAUUCAAGUCGAACGGGACUUUGGGGGCUUCGGUCCUAAAGUUAGUGGCGGACGGGUGAGUAACGCGUGAGCAACCUGCCUUUGAUAGGGGGAUAACAGAGGGAAACUUCUGCUAAUACCGCAUAAUGCAUUAAGGUCGCAUGGCCUUAAUGCCAAAGAUACGUCGAUCAAAGAUGGGCUCGCGUCCGAUUAGGUAGUUGGUGAGGUAACGGCUCACCAAGGCGACGAUCAGUAGCCGACCUGAGAGGGUGAUCGGCCACAUUGGAACUGAGACACGGUCCAAACUCCUACGGGAGGCAGCAGUGGGGAAUAUUGCACAAUGGGCGAAAGCCUGAUGCAGCAACGCCGCGUGAGCGAAGAAGGCCUUCGGGUUGUAAAGCUCUGUCCUUGGGGAAGAUAAUGACGGUACCCUUGGAGGAAGCCCCGGCUAACUACGUG
rnacentral:rRNA from 1 species